rnacentral:tRNA from 1 species
GCCCCGGUGGUGUAGCCCGGUCUAGCAUGCGGGUCUGUCAAACCCGCGACCCGGGUUCAAAUCCCGGCCGGGGCGCCA